AAAGUUCCUGAACGCAGGCAAACUGACACUGAGAAGGACAAACAAAAGAUUUAAUUUCUGCACCAUGAAGAUGCUGACUGUGUUUCUGCAUGUGUGUGUCAUGAUGACUUUCACACACAGUCUGUGUGAGUAUUUAAAACACAGAAGUUCCUCUCUCACUUUUUCUACAUUAUCUAUACAUGCACACUGUAUAUAUAGAAUAUACAUGCAAAACAUAACCAGAGAAUGGAAUAUCUUAAAUUUUGUCUUAAACCCAUGUUUGUAAAAAAAAAAAAAAGUGUCAAGGCUUUGCAAAACUGAAUUAAACAAUCGGAACUUUUUCUUUGUCUAAACAUGAAUGAGAAUCAUUGUACAGUAAUUUCAUAUAAUAUCUAAGCCUAUGUAUAGAUAUACCAUGACUAUACUGUAUAUAAGGACAUGCUGAUCAAUUUGAGUUUGAUUUGUUUGCAUUUUGCCAAUAUCGCUUCACUUCUGUGAGUAACUUGCAUCACAAAUUUUCUACUUCUUUUUAAUCACUUUUGUUACUAAUCACAAACAAUAUUUGUGUGUCAAAUAAAAUGUAUUUUAAACUGUCUUUGCAGCUGUUCCAGAGGAAACAACUGUGCCAGCUCUUCCAGAGGAAACAACUGUGCCAGGUGAAUCUAAAAGUUGUCUUUUAAUGAGAAUAAUUUUUUAUCCACUAGUAAAUAUUGAAAGUUUUUACCCCAUGAAGUUAAUUGCAACAAAAGAACAUUUUAACUCAUGCAGAUGGAGACAACUGGGGAACACCACCAUCUCCACCAUCUACAGAAGAUGACUCAUUUGGGGGCUGGCAUCCAUCUUGCCCAGAUGGAUGGAGUAUGCACAGUCAACAGUGCCUCAUCUUUGUUCCAGAAAACAUGACCUGGGACGAUGCUCAGAAUAACUGUCACUCUCAUGGAGGACAGCUUGCAUCUGUGUAUGAUGACUUUCAAGCUUAUGAGAUUCAAGCGGAGCUGAAGCGUGCUGGACAUGAUCAUGGAGAAUUUUGGGUUGGAGGCCAUAAUAGUCCAGGGAAUCCUUCUUGGUCCUGGAGUGAUUAUUUGGGAAUGUCUGCUUUUGCUGACUUUUGUAAUGGAGACACAGCCGAAGAUGAGCACCACUGUUUGCAAAUAACUUUUACUGGUAAGUCU
ensembl:lncRNA